rnacentral:lncRNA from 1 species
UGCUAUUGAACUAGAUAUCACUGAUAGUUUUGUUUCUUGAUGGAAACAACUUGCUCAUCUAGAAUACUUUUGAUUUGAUCAUGUCUCUUAGUUAUUUUGGACUGUGGGCACUCAGAUUAGGGUUCUCUCUCAAUAGAAGGAUCAAGCUCAAAUAGAUCACUAGGUAUUAUUAUUGGCUCCUUAUAUCUUAUUAGAUCCAAAAUGUUAAAGGUAGAGGUAAUACCAUAAUCAUAUGGUAAAUCUAUAAUAUAUGCAUUCGAUCCUAGUUUCUUUAAGAUCUUGAAUGGACCUACUCCACAUGCAUAUAAUUUCUUAAUAGUUCCUGGAGGAAACUAUUCUGGCC